GUGUUACGGGCCAGUUCACUCCUCCUCCCAGAACGGCCCGUUGGAAUGACAGCACUCCUCCUCCCAGCUGUCAUUCGGUUCUUUUCGGAAAACCUGCCGCACCUCCUCCCGCGGCAGGUUUUUCGU
rnacentral:sRNA from 1 species